CACGUAGGGGGCAAGCGUUGUCCGGAUUUAUUGGGCGUAAAGAGCUCGUAGGCGGCUCAGUAAGUCAGGUGUGAAACCUCCAGGCUCAACCUGGAGACGCCACCUGAUACUGCUGUGGCUAGAGUCCGGUAGGGGAGCGUGGAAUUCCUGGUGUAGCGGUGAAAUGCGCAGAUAUCAGGAGGAACACCCGUGGCGAAAGCGGCUCCUCGUGGGACGGUAC
rnacentral:rRNA from 1 species